AGUGAACGCUGGCGGUAGGCCUAACACAUGCAAGUCGAACGGCAGCACAGUAAGAGCUUGCUCUUACGGGUGGCGAGUGGCGGACGGGUGAGGAAUACAUCGGAAUCUACUUUUUCGUGGGGGAUAACGUAGGGAAACUUACGCUAAUACCGCAUACGACCUACGGGUGAACGCAGGGGAUCUUCGGACCUUGCGCGAUUGAAUGAGCCGAUGUCGGAUUAGCUAGUUGGCGGGGUAAAGGCCCACCAAGGCGACGAUCCGUAGCUGGUCUGAGAGGAUGAUCAGCCACACUGGAACUGAGACACUGUCCAGACUCCUACGGGAGGCAGCAGUGGGGAAUAUUGGACAAUGGGCGCAAGCCUGAUCCAGCCAUACCGCGUGGGUGAAGAAGGCCUUCGGGUUGUAAAACCCUUUUGUUGGGAAAGAAAAGCAGCAGGUUAAUACCCCGCUGUUCUGACGGUACCCAAAGAAUAAGCACCGGCUAACUUCGUG
rnacentral:rRNA from 1 species